rnacentral:rRNA from 1 species
AAACUCCUACGGGAGGCAGCAGUAGGGAAUUUUCGUCAAUGGGGGGAACCCUGAACGAGCAAUGCCGCGUGAGUGAAGAAGGUCUUCGGAUCGUAAAGCUCUGUUGUAAGAGAAAAACGGACUCCAUAGGGAAUGAUGGAGGAGUGAUGGUAUCUUACCAGAAAGCCACGGCUAACUACGUGCCAGCAGCCGCGGUAAUACGUAGGUGGCGAGCGUUAUCCGGAAUCAUUGGGCGUAAAGGGUGCGUAGGUGGCACGAUAAGUCUGUAGUAAAAGGCAGCGGCUCAACCGCUGUUGGCUAUGGAAACUGUCGAGCUGGAGUGCAGAAGAGGGCGAUGGAAUUCCAUGUGUAGCGGUAAAAUGCGUAGAUAUAUGGAGGAACACCAGUGGCGAAGGCGACGAUCUGGCGCAUAACUGACGCUCAGUCCCGAAAGCGUGGGGAGCAAAUAGGAUUAGAUACCCUAGUAGUCCACGCCGUAAACGAUGAGAACUAAGUGUUGGGGAAACUCAGUGCUGCAGUUAACGCAAUAAGUUCUCCGCCUGGGGAGUAUGCACGCAAGUGUGAAACUCAAAGGAAUUGACGGGGGCCCGCACAAGCGGUGGAGUAUGUGGUUUAAUUCGAAGCAACGCGAAGAACCUUACCAGGCCUUGACAUGGAGAUAAAGGCCCUGGAGACAGGGAGAUAGAUAUAUCUCACACAGGUGGUGCAUGGUUGUCGUCAGCUCGUGUCGUGAGAUGUUGGGUUAAGUCCCGCAACGAGCGCAACCCUUGUUUCAUGUUACCAAUAUUGAGUUAGGGACUCAUGAGAGACUGCCGGUGACAAACCGGAGGAAGGUGGGGAUGACGUCAAAUCAUCAUGCCCCUUAUGGCCUGGGCUACACACGUACUACAAUGGCGGUUACAAAGGGCAGCGACCCUGUGAGGGGGAGCGAAUCCCGGAAAGACCGUCUCAGUUCGGAUUGAAGUCUGCAACCCGACUUCAUGAAGUUGGAAUCGCUAGUAAUCGCGAAUCAGCAUGUCGCGGUGAAUACGUUCUCGGGCCUUGUACACACCGCCCGUCAAACCAUGGGAGUUGGCAAUACCCGAAGCCGGUGGCAUAACCAAAUGGAGUGAGCCGUCGAAGGUAGGGCCGAUGACUGGGGUUAAGUCGUAACAAGGUAUCCCUACGGGAACGUGGGGAUG